CAGGGGGCUCGCAUCGUACACACUCUCCAAUCAACCCCACCGUCCCUCCAACCACUGACGCGAUUCACACAAACCCCACCCAGCGUCAACUCGCUCAUUCGCACACCUCCGAGGCGCGACCCUGUGGACCAUGUCAGAAAAGGAACACGAUGAAACGCCUGUGACUGCCGAGGGGCCGGCUGCAGCGCACGAGGGCAGCAAAACGGACCUGAAUGGGAAGGAGAGGCGCACAAACUACAUCAAGACGGACCUAGGCGAGCUGAACAUGAUUGAGUCCAUGUGCCCCAAGUGCCAGGAGAUGGGCACGACGCGCCUUAUGAUCACGAGUAUUCCUCACUUCAAGGAGAUCAUCGUCAGCAGCUUCGAGUGCCAGCGCUGUGGUGAGGUCAAUAACGAGGUCGCGUUUGGAGGCACUUUUGGCCCCAAGAGGGUACGCUACGAGUUGCAGGUGCAUAGCAAGCAGGAUCUGGACCGGCAGGUGGUCAAGUCGGAGUUCGCCACCAUCGCAAUCCCUGAGCUAGAGCUGGAGAUUCCGCCGGAGUCGCAGAAGGGAAACCUGAAUACCGUCGAGGGCAUCUUGGAGCAGACAUACAGCGGCCUUCAACUUCAGCAGCCGCUGCGCAAGAUUCAGCACCCAGAUCUGUACGAGAAGAUCGAGGCUUUUUGCGCGAAGUUGGAGUCCUUUCGGAGCGGUGAUGUCCCCUUUACCCUCACUCUCGACGACCCAGCAGGGAAUAGCUACAUUGAACCCAUCCACGACUACUACCACCCAACUCUCGACCCUCAGCUCACCAAGUACGAAAAGGAGCGCACCGAGAUCGACCGCCAGCUGCUCGGCAUCGCCAUCGACUACAACACGGAGCGGACGAAGGAGGAGGAGAAGGACGUGGAGGAGGGCCAGUUCAGCGACGUGACGCAGAUCCUGUGCGACUGCCCUGCUUGCCGCAGGCCUGGGCAUCUCAUGAUGCACGAAUGUGAUAUUCCGUACUUCAAGCAGACAAUUAUUAUGGCCUUCAAGUGCGAGUACUGCGGCUACAAGAGCAACGAGAUCAAGGCGGGUGGCGAAAUCAACCCGAAGGGGCUGCGGCUCACUCUGCACGUCAAGUCGGAGGCGGACCUCAAGCGUGACGUGCUCAAGUCCGAUACGGCCACGCUGAUCAUCCCGGAGGUGCGUCUUGAGCUGGCGCCUGGCACCUUGGGCGGCUUCUUUUCCACUGUCGAGGGCACCAUCACUCAGGUGCGCGACCAGCUCAUGAAUCUACCUCAGGCUGCCUUCGCCGCUGGCGACUCGGCCGAUGACAACUCGAAGACGAUGCUCGAGUUCGUGAAGGAGCUAGACGAGCUGCUGGCUCUCAGGGAGGAGUUUACCUUCAUCCUCGACGACCCCCUUGGUAAUGUAUACAUCCAGAACCCUUGCUCACACCUGCCUCCGCCAGACGACGUGGACCCGAAGCUGGAGAGAGAGGAGUACACCCGCACGGAGGAGCAGGACGAAGAGCUCGGUAUUCGUUCUAUGCGCCACAACGAGGAGCAGGCCAACAUUGAGAAGUCGGAGGAUGAGGCGGACCACGAGGCUGAAGAAAAGGACGGUGCCGCCGCUGAGGAGCAGGAGACCGAACAGUGAGGGCCUGAGUGGCAUACCAGGAUCAGCGAGGCUGUAGCAGCGCGUGCCUAGUAGACGCUUCUCAGCAGAGGUUAUAGUGACGCCGGCGGGGAUUCGGUGGUUAGGUGAGCGUGCGGCAUGGCGAAAAUGCUGUGUGAAGGGUGGCUACUGCCGCUGCUAUUUCUGUCUCUGCGUUCCAUUUCGCCUUCCCUUCCCUUAGCCCUAAUACUUCGGCGUGGCGAAGACACGUGAGUGCAAGCGCUCUUCUUGAUGCGCGCUUUUUCCUCUCGCACACAUACACAGACGGACGCAGGCUUGCUUGUUAAGACGCCGAUUAAGCGCCACUAAGCUACAACAGCAGCAACAGCAACACAAGGACAUGCUACCUCGCGCGCCGCGCGAAAGAAGAACACUUUGCGCGUGUGUCUCAUCUCCGGUGCAGUGCACGCCGAAGGCACCACCGACGCCGCUGAGCCCUCCUUGCGCACUCCUAUUCCCCGCCGGCAGAGACGACGACACAGAGAUGCACAUGGAUGGGAACCUCUCGCGCCCUGUGAGGACUACCAGGGACGUUGCUCUGCAACCGUCCGUCACCCUCUGUGUCGUGUGUGUGAGUGUGCGCGAUUUCUUGUGAAGUCUUCUCUCCUCUCCCAUUUCUGCUCGGUGGCUUUCACGGCUGCACGUUCUCCUCCCCAG
rnacentral:misc_RNA from 1 species